UACGGGGGGGGCAAGCGUUGUUCGGAAUUACUGGGCGUAAAGGGCGCGUAGGCGGCCUGCUAAGUCGGACGUGAAAUCCCCCGGCUCAACCGGGGAACUGCGUCCGAUACUGGUGGGCUCGAAUCCGGGAGAGGGAUGUGGAAUUCCAGGUGUAGCGGUGAAAUGCGUAGAUAUCUGGAGGAACACCGGUGGCGAAGGCGGCAUCCUGGACCGGUAUUGACGCUGAGGCGCGAAAGCCAGGGGAGCCAAACGGG
rnacentral:rRNA from 1 species